rnacentral:rRNA from 1 species
CCUACGGGUGGCAGCAGUGAGGAAUAUUGGUCAAUGGGCGGGACCCUGAACCAGCCACGCCGCGUGCAGUAAGAAGGCGCCCAUCGUCGUACACUUCUUUUGUCGGGGAACACAGUGCGCCACGUGUGGCGUUGUGAGUGUACCCGCAGAAACAGCAUCGGCUAACUCCGUGCCAGCAGCCGCGGUAAUACUGAGUAUGCUAGCGUUAGCCGGAUUUAUUGGGUUUAAAGGGUGCGUAGGCGGUCCGGACAGUCAGCGGUAAAAGCCCGGGGCUCAACCCCGGCGAGCCGUGGAAACUGUCGGACUAGAGACGGCGAGAAGUACGCGGAAUGCGCGGUGUAGCGGUGAAAUGCAUAGAUAUCGCGCAGAACUCCGAUUGCGAAGGCAGCGUACCGGCGCCGGACUGACGCUGAGGCACGAAAGCGUGGGUAUCGAACAGGAUUAGAUACACGAGUAGUC